UGAAUGCUAUCUGUUAGGGGGUUUCGAUGCCCUUGGUGCCGAAGUUAACCGAUUAAGCAAUCCCCCGGGGGAGUACGGUCCCAAAACUGAAACCCAAAGGAAUUGACGGGGACCCGCCCCAACCGUGGGAGUAUGUGGUUUAAUUUGAAGCAACCCGAAAAACCUUACCAGGUCUUGACAUCCCUUUGACCCCUCUAGAGAUAGAGGUUUCCUUCCGGACAGAGGAGACCGGUGGCGGCUGGUUCUUGCAGCUCGGGCCUGGAGAGGUGGGUUUAGUCCCGCACCAAGCGCACCCUUAACUUUUGUUUCCAGCACGUAAAGGUGGGCACUCUAGAGUGACUGCCGGUGACAAACCGGAGGAAGGUGGGGAUGACGUCAAAUCAUCAUGCCCCUUAUGACUUGGGCUACACACGUACUACAAUGGCUGGAACAACGGGAAGCGAAGCCGCGAGGUGGAGCCAAUCCUAAAAAGCCAGUCUCAUUUCGGAUUGUAGUCUGCAACUCGCCUACUGAAGUCGGAAUCGCUAGUAAUCGCGGAUCAGCAUGCCGCGGUGAAUACGUUCCCGGGUCUUGUACACACCGCCCGUCACACCACGAGAGU
rnacentral:rRNA from 1 species